rnacentral:rRNA from 1 species
UACGASGGAGGCAGCAGCUAAGAAUCUUCCGCAAUGGACGAAAGUCUGACGGAGCGACGCCGCGUGAGCGAUGAAGGUGCUCUGCAUUGUAAAGCUCUUUCGGGAAGGAAGAAUAAGGGUCCAUGAAUAGUGGAUCUGAUGACGACCCUUCCUAAAGAAGCCCCGGCUAACUUCGUGCCAGCAGCCGCGGCAAUACGUAGGGGGUAAGCGUUGUUCGGAAUCACUGGGCGUAAAGGGCAUGUAGGCGGGAAAGUAAGUUGGGGGUGAAAUCUACGGGCUCAACCUGUAAACUGCCUUCAAAACUGCUUUUCUUGAAUGUGGGAGGGGAGAUCGGAAUUCCUAGUGUAGGAGUGAAAUCUGUAGAUAUUAGGAAGAACACCGAUGGCGAAGGCAGAUCUCUGGCCUGACAUUGACGCUGAUAUGCGAAAGCGUGGGGAGCGAACAGGAUUAGAUACCCUGGUAG